CUCUUUUUCUUUCCCAUUGAAAUAUGCCUGUAUUGGAAAGAGGUGCCUUCAUGGGGAGGUAGAUAGCAUGCUUAAGAGAAAAAGGCGGUGCAUGUGAUUGCCAUAUCACCUUCAGAGAUUCUUUCUAGAAGACACGUACAUGCUGUCUACAUUUCAGAUGGCCAAGCCAACCUUUUGCAUCAGCAGGCCGGUUCAACAUUCUAUCAAGCCAGACGUUCCCAGAUGGUGUGGUAUGGUGCAGCCAGAGGAUCCCAUUAUCAUUUGACCCACUCUCCCA